rnacentral:rRNA from 1 species
GCCAGCAGCCAUAUCACCCUUCAACUCACAACUGGCAACCCACUAAAGCUAAGCAGGUGUGAGCCUGGUCAGUACCUGGAUGGGAGACCUCCUGGGAAAAACUAAGGCUGCUGCUGGAA